GCUGACUGCCAUGCUGGACCUGCUUAGGAGCGUCUCCAAGCUCUGAAGUGUCCUGUGGACUGAUGGAUCUUCUGAAGUGUCCUGUGGACUGAUGGACUUUACCUGUGACCACAGCCGCUUUGUCAACUGUGUGCGAUUCUCUCCUGAUGGGAACAGAUUUGCCACAGCUAGUGCUGAUGGCCAGAUUUUCAUUUAUGAUGGGAAGACAGGAGAAAAGGUGUGUGCCCUUGGAGGAAGCAAGGCUCAUGAUGGAGGAAUUUAUGCCAUUAGUUGGAGUCCUGAUAGCACCCAUUUGCUAUCUGCCUCUGGAGACAAAACCUCUAAGAUUUGGGAUGUCAAUGUAAACUCUGUGGUCAGCACGUUUCCCAUGGGCUCCAAUGUUCUGGACCAGCAGCUGGGCUGC
rnacentral:lncRNA from 1 species